UACGUAGGGGGCAAGCGUUGUCCGGAAUCAUUGGGCGUAAAGAGCGUGUAGGCGGCCCGAUAAGUCCGCCGUGAAAGUCCAGGGCUCAACCCUGGAAUGCCGGUGGAAACGGUCGGGCUGGAGUCCGGAAGAGGCGAGUGGAAUUCCUGGUGUAGCGGUGAAAUGCGCAGAUAUCAGGAGGAACACCGGUGGCGAAGGCGGGUCUCUGGACAGUUCCUGACACUGAGACACGAAGGCCAGGGGAGCAAACGGG
rnacentral:rRNA from 1 species